GACGAACGCUGGCGGCGUGCUUAACACAUGCAAGUCGAACGAAGAGCGAUGGAAGCUUGCUUCUAUCAAUCUUAGUGGCGAACGGGUGAGUAACGCGUAAUCAACCUGCCCUUCAGAGGGGGACAACAGUUGGAAACGACUGCUAAUACCGCAUACGAUCUAAUCUCGGCAUCGAGGAUAGAUGAAAGGUGGCCUCUACAUGUAAGCUAUCACUGAAGGAGGGGAUUGCGUCUGAUUAGCUAGUUGGAGGGGUAACGGCCCACCAAGGCGAUGAUCAGUAGCCGGUCUGAGAGGAUGAACGGCCACAUUGGGACUGAGACACGGCCCAGACUCCUACGGGAGGCAGCAGUGGGGAAUCUUCCGCAAUGGACGAAAGUCUGACGGAGCAACGCCGCGUGAGCGAUGACGGCCUUCGGGUUGUAAGGCUCUGUUAAUCGGGACGAAAGGCCUUCUUGCGAAUAGUGAGAAGGAUUGACGGUACCGGAAUAGAAAGCCACGGCUAACUACGUG
rnacentral:rRNA from 1 species